GACGGGGGGGGCAAGUGUUCUUCGGAAUGACUGGGCGUAAAGCGCGCGCAGGCGGUGGCGUGAGCCCGGCGUGAAAGCCCCCAGCUCAACUGGGGGAGGCCGUCGGAGACCGCGGCACUUGAGGCCGGUAGGGGAGAGCGGAAUUCCCGGUGUAGUGGUGGAAUGCGUAGAUAUCGGGAGGAACACCAGUGGCGAAGGCGGCUCUCUGGACCGGUUCUGACGCUCAGGCGCGAAAGCGUGGGGAGCGAUCCGG
rnacentral:rRNA from 1 species